CCUUCGGGGGAAAGAUUUAUCGCCAUUGGAGCGGCCCGCGUUGGAUUAGCUAGUUGGUGGGGUAAAGGCCCACCAAGGCUACGAUCCAUAGCUGGUCUGAGAGGAUGAUCAGCCACACUGGGACUGAGACACGGCCCAGACUCCUACGGGAGGCAGCAGUAGGGAAUCUUGCGCAAUGGGCGAAAGCCUGACGCAGCCAUGCCGCGUGAAUGAUGAAGGUCUUAGGAUUGUAAAAUUCUUUCACCGGGGAAGAUAAUGACGGUACCCGGAGAAGAAGCCCCGGCUAACUUCGUGCCAGCAGCCGCGGUAAUACGAAGGGGGCUAGCGUUGCUCGGAAUUACUGGGCGUAAAGGGCGCGUAGGCGGACAUUUAAGUCAGAGGUGAAAGCCCAGGGCUCAACCUUGGAAUUGCCUUUGAUACUGGAUGUCUUGAGUUCGGGAAAGGUGAGUGGAAUGCCCGAGUGUAGAGGUGAAAUUCGUAGAUAUUCGGCGGAACACCAGUGGCGAAGGCGACUCACUGGCCCG
rnacentral:rRNA from 1 species